CCCUUAGAUGUUCUGGGCUGCACGCGUGCUACACUGAUAUUGCCAAUAUGUCAUUCUUAUCCGAAAUGGAUUGGGUAAUCAAGUAAUGAAAUUUCAUGCUUGGAAUCGGUAAUUGCAAUUUUAUCGUGAACGAGGAAUUCCUAGUAAGCACUAGUCAUCAGCUAAUGUUGAUUAUGUCCCUGCCCUUUGUACACACCACCCGUCGCUACUACUGAUUGGGUGUUCAAGUGAGAUGCUUAGACCCUUGUUGCAUGGUUCAUUAUUGUGCUCCGAAAGGAAAAAGUUUCAAGCUUGAGUGUCUAGAGGAAGUAAAAGUCGUAACA
rnacentral:rRNA from 1 species